GCCGGUUUAGCUUAGUGGUAGAGCGUUGCACUUGUAUUCGCAAUACUUCGUUGUACAAUGCAAAGGUCGGUUGUUCAAUCCAGCCAACCGGCA